rnacentral:ncRNA from 1 species
AAAAAAGUUUUUAUCUAAGUAAUGUGAAAUGUAAAUCCAAUCAUUGGACAACUCCUAACACUUGCAUCUUAGUUUUUAUCUAAGUAAUGUGAAAUGUAAAUUUCUACGCAUAUUGUCAUUUAGCAUCAUUGCAAAGUUUUUAUCUAAGUAAUGUGAAAUGUAAAUUGGAGUUGCUGUAUGAUGCUGAAGGCGAUGCCAUACGUUUUUAUCUAAGUAAUGUGA